rnacentral:rRNA from 1 species
GCGUUGUCCGGAAUCAUUGGGCGUAAAGGGCGUGUAGGCGGCCCGAUAAGUCCGCUGUGAAAGUUCAAGGCUCAACCUUGGAGUGCCGGUGGAUACUGUCGGGCUCGAGUCCGGAAGAGGUGAGUGGAAUUCCUGGUGUAGCGGUGAAAUGCGCAGAUAUCAGGAGGAACACCAAUGGCGAAGGCAGCUCACUGGGACGGUACUGACGCUGAGACGCGAAAGCGUG